UCAUCAUUCUAGAUGUAAUCUUCCAGGUGGUCAACAAAACUGGCAGGAUUUCUCUCUUGUGCUGAACGGAGUUUUCAAAAUUGACGAACUUGGUGUUAAACCGCCAAAUCAGUAAUACGCUUCUUACCGAUUAGACUCAGUACUGCAAAGGAAAGAGCAGGGCUGUAAGUGUGGACAACGCUGUGGUGGAACACUGACGAAGCAGGAACGGUUGUCAGAGACCGUGUAGCUGUGGUGGUGGGUCUUACGUGAGCAAAAAUGUGUGUGAUAAAACCUGGAGUCAGAAAAGGUUUCUAUUGGAGCUUAACUGCAACAGGAAACAGCUUAUCACUUUGAAAGGAAAAACCCUGAAGACCAGUGUGAAACAGCUGAAAGAGUCAUGGCUACAUCUUCCAGCAGAAUCUAGACAUUCCAGUCUCUGGUGUCCAAGCACACCCUAACUUCUAGCAUCUUCAUGCUCCAUAGCAGCUUUAUUCACUAAAGGGAUGUACUCCAAAGCCAGUGUGAAAAGCCCCAUGAAUUUAAUGAAGAAUUGUCAGAAAGAAAUAAUUUCAUUAAAAUGUUGUAUAACUUGUGAACAAUCAAUAA